rnacentral:rRNA from 1 species
AGAGUUUGAUCCUGGCUCAGGAUGAACGCUGGCGGCGUGCUUAACACAUGCAAGUCACGGGGGCCCAGCAAUGGGCAACCGGCGAACGGGUGCGUAACACGUGAGCAACCUACCGAAAUGAGGGGGAUAGCCGGCCCAACGGCCGGGUAAUACCGCAUACGCUCGAGACCAGGCAUUUGGACUCGAGGAAACCUCCGGGGCAUUUCGAGGGGCUCGCGGCCUAUCAGCUAGUUGGUGAGGUAACGGCUCACCAAGGCGACGACGGGUAGCUGGUCUGAGAGGAUGGCCAGCCACAUUGGGACUGAGAUACGGCCCAGACUCCUACGGGAGGCAGCAGUGGGGAACCUUGCGCAAUGGCCUAACGGCUGACGCAGCGACGCCGCGUGAGGGAUGACGCUCUUCGGAGUGUAAACCUCUUUUGCCUGAGACGAAUUGUCAGCUUUAGCUGAUCUGACUGUAUCGGGUGAAUAAGCACCGGCUAACUCCGUGCCAGCAGCCGCGGUAAUACGGGGGGUGCGAGCGUUGUCCGGAAUCACUGGGCGUAAAGGGCGCGUAGGUGGUCUGAUAAGGGUGUGGUGAAAGCCCGGGGCUCAACCCCGGGUCGGCCGUGCCGACUGUUAGACUAGAGUACUGUAGGGGCAGGCGGAAUUCCGGGUGUAGCGGUGGAAUGCGUAGAGAUCCGGAGGAAGACCGGUGGCGAAGGCGGCCUGCUGGGCAGUUACUGACACUGAGGCGCGACAGCGUGGGGAGCAAACAGGAUUAGAUACCCUGGUAGUCCACGCCGUAAACGAUGGGUACUAGGUGCCUGGGGGAGCGACCCCUUGGGUGCCGGCGCUAACGCAGGAAGUACCCCGCCUGGGGAGUACGGCCGCAAGGCUGAAACUCAAAGGAAUUGACGGGGGCCCGCACAAGCGGUGGAGCAUGUGGUUUAAUUCGACGCAACGCGAAGAACCUUACCUAGGCUUGACAUGCAUGGGAAACUCCUCAGAAACGAGGAGCCUCCUUCGGGAUCCAUGCACAGGUGCUGCAUGGCUGUCGUCAGCUCGUGUCGUGAGAUGUUGGGUUAAGUCCCGCAACGAGCGCAACCC